UGCCAGCCGCCGCGGUAAUACGUAGGGUGCAAGCGUUGUCCGGAUUUAUUGGGUUUAAAGGGUGCGCAGGCGGUUAGUUAAGUUAGUGGUGAAAUCGUUCCGCUCAACGGGAUACCCGCCAUUAAGACUGGCUAACUUGAGUGUGGCAGAGGAAUUUGGAAUGCGUAGUGUAGCGGUGAAAUGCAUAGAUAUUACGCAGAACACCAAUUGCGAAGGCAGAGUUCUAUGUCACAACUGACGCUGAGGCACGAAAGCGUGGGUAGCGAACAGGAUUAGAUA
rnacentral:rRNA from 1 species